GAUUGAACGCUGGCGGUAUGCUUAACACAUGCAAGUCGAACGGAAACGAUACUAGCUUGCUAGUAGGCGUCGAGUGGCGGACGGGUGAGUAACGCGUAGGAAUCUGCCUGAUAGUGGGGGAUAGCCCGAAGAAAUUCGGAUUAAUACCGCAUAAUCUAUUCGUAGUAAAGUGGGGGACUUUCGAGCCUCACGCUAUCAGAUGAGCCUGCGUAAGAUUAGCUUGUUGGUAGGGUAAAAGCCUACCAAGGCGACGAUCUUUAGCUGGUCUGAGAGGAUGAUCAGCCACAUCGGGACUGAGGCACGGCCCGAACUCCUACGGGAGGCAGCAGUGGGGAAUAUUGGACAAUGGGGGCAACCCUGAUCCAGCAAUACCGCGUGUGUGAAGAAGGCCUGAGGGUUGUAAAGCACUUUCAAUUGUGAAGAAAAGUUAGCGGUUAAUAACCGUUAGCCUUGACGUUAACUUUAGAAGAAGCACCGGCUAACUCCGUGCCAGCAGCCGCGGUAAUACGGAGGGUGCAAGCGUUAAUCGGAAUUACUGGGCGUAAAGCGUGCGUAGGCGGUUUAUUAAGUCAGAUGUGAAAGCCCCGGGCUUAACCUGGGAACUGCAUUUGAAACUGGUCAACUAGAGUAUGGUAGAGGAAAGUGGAAUUUCUGGUGUAGCGGUGAAAUGCGUAGAUAUCAGAAGGAACAUCAAUGGCGAAGGCAGCUUUCUGGACCAAUACUGACGCUGAGGUACGAAAGCGUGGGUAGCAAACAGGAUUAGAUACCCUGGUAGUCCACGCCGUAAACGAUGAUAACUAGCCGUUGGGGGGAUUUACCCUUUAGUGGCGAAGCUAACGCGUUAAGUUAUCCGCCUGGGGAGUACGGCCGCAAGGUUAAAACUCAAAGGAAUUGACGGGGACCCGCACAAGCGGUGGAGCAUGUGGUUUAAUUCGAUGCAACGCGAAGAACCUUACCUGGUCUUGACAUCCUGCGAACUUUCUAGAAAUAGAUUGGUGCCUUCGGGAACGCAGUGACAGGUGCUGCAUGGCUGUCGUCAGCUCGUGUCGUGAGAUGUUGGGUUAAGUCCCGUAACGAGCGCAACCCCUAUCCUUAUUUGCCAGCACAUCAUGGUGGGAACUAUAAGGAGACUGCCGGUGAUAAACCGGAGGAAGGCGGGGACGACGUCAAGUCAUCAUGGCCCUUACGACCAGGGCUACACACGUGCUACAAUGGGAAGGACAAAGAGCCGCGAAGCCGCGAGGUGUAGCUAAUCUCAUAAACCUUUUCGUAGUCCGGAUUGGAGUCUGCAACUCGACUCCAUGAAGUCGGAAUCGCUAGUAAUCGUAGAUCAGAAUGCUACGGUGAAUACGUUCCCGGGUCUUGUACACACCGCCCGUCA
rnacentral:rRNA from 1 species